AUUGAACGCUGGCGGCAGGCCUAACACAUGCAAGUCGAACGAGUGGCGGACGGGUGAAUAAUGUCUGGGAAAGUGCCUGAUGGAGGGGGAUAACUACUGGAAACGGUAGCUAAUACCGCAUACGAUGGUAUGUGCUCAGGUGGGAUUAGCUAGUAGGUGGGGUAAAGGCUCACCUAGGCGACGAUGCCUAGCAGGUCUGAGAGGCUGACCAGCCACACUGGAACUGAGACACGGCCCAGACUCCUACGGGAGGCAGCAGUGGGGAAUAUUCCACAAUGGGCGCAAGCCUGAUGCAGCCAUGCCGCGUGUAUGAAGAAGGCCUUCGGGUUGUAAAGUACUGUCAGCGGAGAGGCGUUACCCGCAGAGGAAGCACCGGCUAACUCCGUGCCAGCCGCCGCGGUAAUAC
rnacentral:rRNA from 1 species